rnacentral:rRNA from 1 species
UAAGGAAUAUUGGACAAUGGAGGCAACUCUGAUCCAGCCAUGCCGCGUGAAGGAAUAAGGCCCUAUGGGUUGUAAACUUCUUUUAGACGGGACAAAACCCCUUUACGUGUAAAGGGUUGAUGGUACUAUCAGAAUAAGCAUCGGCUAACUUCGUGCCAGCAGCCGCGGUAAUACGAAGGAUGCAAGCGUUAUCCGGAAUUAUUGGGUUUAAAGGGUGCGUAGGCGGACUAAUAAGUCAGUGGUGAAAGCCUGCAGCUUAACUGCAGAAUUGCCAUUGAUACUGUUAGUCUUGAGUACAGUUGAGGUAGGCGGAAUGUGUCAUGUAGCGGUGAAGUGCUUAGAUAUGACACAGAACACCGAUUGCGAAGGCAGCUUGCUAAGCUGUAACUGACGCUGAGGCACGAAAGCGUGGGGAGCAAACA